UGUGCUUCUGACGAUCACACAGUAAAAGAUUGUCCAUCCCUUCUCAGACAGAACAAGGUGGGAACAACAGCGGGCCAGCGCAUCCGCGAUAGUUGAUUCUGGAGCCACUGCUUCAUACAUAGAUAAGGAGUAUGUCACUGUAAAUAAAAUACCGCUAACCCAGAAAAA